GUUUAUAGCCAUAACACCUGGAAAGUGCCUAAUCUCAUCUGAUCUUGGAUGUUAAGCAGGGUCGUGUCUGGUUAGUAUUUGGAUGGCAGAAGAAAUUGACAACACAAUUC
ensembl:rRNA 5S_rRNA 5S ribosomal RNA